UCACUGCACAGGAACAGAAAGGUGGCAGAUGCUGAUUCCCCAGCGACUGCAAGCCACCUCGGUUCGGUCUGCUUCAGCAAGCCCUCUGUCUCACUGAGCAAGCCCAGGAGCAGUUACCAGUGCUGGAGGUUGCUCAGGCUCGAGGGCAGAUUAUCAAGGCUGAGAAUGUUCCCCAUGAGUGACAAACUAAUUUCUUUAUUAAGGUCAGUUAUCUUUACUGCUGGUCAAACAUUUGGAACAGAACUGAUAUCAAUGUGUAUUCAUUACUCCAUGGCAGCCAAAAUAAUCAGAAUGACAGACAUAUUUAUACAACUGCCUGAUUUGAACUCCAAAUAAUUAUCCAAAUUAAAUGGAUUUUUGGAUUAUUUUAGACACUGCAGAUGUGUAGUUUGUAUAUUGGAAUUAUUUAUUGUAUCUUAAGUGAUAACCAAGCUAACAUCUCAGCUUGUUCAAAGCUUUGCGAUAAACAUUUACACAUUUUUUGUAAUUGAACCACAGUUGUCUGGGUAAAUUUGUGUAGUUGCAGAUAAUUAGGGCUUUUGUGCUGUUCAUAGGGACAUCUCUGUGGGUCAUGUCACUGCUGAUCCCAUUAUUGAUUAGACCUCAUGUUUUUUUUUUGUUUUUUUUUUUGCUAUCCAUCCCUGUUCUGAGACAAUAUGCUGCAUGCCGUUUAAGAGUCUUUCAUUCCCACAUGAAGAUCAAUAACAACCGUCAGCAGUUCCCUGCCCUCCUCAACUAUCAGUCUCAUUAAUCACUAAAAAUCUUCAAAACAUAACUAUAAAAAUCUAGAGUGAACAUUUCUUCAGCUGGUAAAUGUUGUUUUAUUCUGUUGUUUAGUCUGUGUGCAAGCCUCCUUUUUCUUUCUGUCCCAGGUUGUAUUUCCACUAUUAGAUUAAUACUUCAAAAAUCACAAUCUCUACUUCCUCUCCACUGCAAUGUGUUCACUUAUUGAUGGCUGCCAGUCCACCAAUAAAGAAAAAGAGAUGGCCACAA